rnacentral:tRNA from 1 species
AUUAUAAUGGCCAAGUGGUUAAGGCAUUGGACUUAAUAUCCAAUGGAUUUAUAUCCUCAUGGGUUCGAACCCCAUUUCUGGUA